UCGGGUUGUAAAGCACUUUUGUCCGGAAAGAAAUCCUUGGCUCUAAUACAGUCGGGGGAUGACGGUACCGGAAGAAUAAGCACCGGCUAACUACGUGCCAGCAGCCGCGGUAAUACGUAGGGUGCAAGCGUUAAUCGGAAUUACUGGGCGUAAAGCGUGCGCAGGCGGUUGCUAAGACCGAUGUGAAAUCCCCGGGCUCAACCUGGGAACUGCAUUGGUGACUGGCAGGCUAGAGUAUGGCAGAGGGGGGGUAGAAUUUCCACGUGUAGCAGUGAAAUGCGUAGAGAUGUGGAGGAAUACCGAUGGCGAAGGCAGCCCCUGGGCCAAUACUGACGCUCAUGCACGAAAGCGUGGGGAGCAAACAGGAUUAGAUACCCUGGUAGUCCACGCCCUAAACGAUGUCAACUAGUUGUUGGGGAUUCAUUUCCUUAGUAACGUAGCUAACGCGUGAAGUUGACCGCCUGGGGAGUACGGUCGCAAGAUUAAAACUCAAAGGAAUUGACGGGGACCCGCACAAGCGGUGGAUGAUGUGGAUUAAUUCGAUGCAACGCGAAAAACCUUACCUACCCUUGACAUGGUCGGAAUCCUGCUG
rnacentral:rRNA from 1 species